UGAGCUGGUGUGGGCCGCAGAGACCAGUGAGAAGCGACUGUUUACUAAAAACACAGGUCCGUGCGAAGUCGUAAGACGAUGUAUACGGACUGACGCCUGCCCGGUGCUGGAAGGUUAAGAGGACCGGUUAGCUCGUAAGAGCGAAGCUGAGAAUUUAAGCCCCAGUAAACGGCGGUGGUAACUAUAACCAUCCUAAGGUAGCGAAAUUCCUUGUCGGGUAAGUUCCGACCUGCACGAAUGGCGUAACGACUUCUCAGCUGUCUCAACCAUAGACUCGGCGAAAUUGCAUUACGAGUAAAGAUGCUCGUUACGCGCGGCAGGACGAAAAGACCCCGGGACCUUCACUACAGCUUGGUAUUGGUGUUCGGUUCGGUUUGUGUAGGAUAGGUGGGAGACUGUGAAGCGGUGACGCCAGUUACUGUGGAGUCGUUGUUGAAAUACCACUCUGAUCGUAUUGGAUACCUCAACCUCGGACCAUGAUCUGGUUCAGGGACAGUGCCUGGUGGGUAGUUUAACUGGGGCGGUUGCCUCCUAAAAUGUAACGGAGGCGCCCAAAGGUUCCCUCAGCCUGGUUGGCAAUCAGGUGUCGAGUGCAAGUGCACAAGGGAGCUUGACUGUGAGACUGACAAGUCGAGCAGGGACGAAAGUCGGGACUAGUGAUCCGGCACCGGCAAGUGGAAGCGGUGUCGCUCAACGGAUAAAAGGUACCCCGGGGAUAACAGGCUGAUCUUCCCCAAGAGUCCAUAUCGACGGGAUGGUUUGGCACCUCGAUGUCGGCUCGUCGCAUCCUGGGGCUGGAGUAGGUCCCAAGGGUUGGGCUGUUCGCCCAUUAAAGCGGCACGCGAGCUGGGUUUAGAACGUCGUGAGACAGUUCGGUCUCUAUCCGCCGCGCGCGUAAGAAACUUGAGGAAGGCUGUCCCUAGUACGAGAGGACCGGGACGGACGAACCUCUGGUGUGCCAGUUGUUCCACCAGGAGCACCGCUGGUUGGCUACGUUCGGAAGGGAUAACCGCUGAAAGCAUCUAAGCGGGAAGCCUGUUCCAAGAUGAGGUUUCUCACCCCCUCGAGGGGGUAAGGCCCCCGGCAGACCACCGGGUUGAUAGGCCAGAACUGGAAGUACAGCAAUGUAUGCAGGUGACUGGUACUAAUAGGCCGAGGACUUACCACA
rnacentral:rRNA from 1 species